UCAACCACACUACAGAUUUGAACAUUAUAAACGAAGCUUAUGCCAAUAACUGAUGUUAGCAAGUUUUUGAUCGCUAAAUGUGCUACACCUGAAUAAAUUUUAUAUAUCCAUUUUCCUGCUUAGCAUCUUCUCAGUGCUAUUCCAAAAUCUAUUUACUUAAAGUAAGAUCAGAAGUAGCAACAAAACUAAACCUUUUUCUAAACAAAAGACUUCAUCAAUAUACACCAAUUCUUAUCGUCUGUGCAUAAGUUUUCUGAUUCCAGUACGCAUUAAAUCUCCUAGAGCACGCAAACGUGGACUAUUGACACCUUCAAGAGUUCUGUUACUCUUUCUCCCCAUAUAAGCCCAAAAACAUAAAAGCAUACAUAAACUUAAUAAACCCCUUUUUUGCAGGAAAAUUUAAAUCUUGCUUCAUUGCUACUAUUAAGCCUCAAUCCUUACUGAACAAAGAGGCAUCAAAAGAUUCCAUGACCAAGGCAAAUAUAAGAAGUCUUAAAAAGCAGUAAAAGAUGCAGAUGACUCUCUAAGUAGAACAAAACAACAGCAUAACUUGCACAAACAAAAGAUGUUGAAUCCACGGUGUAUUCACAUAGUAAGAACAAAGUCCUCAAACUGAUCAAAUUAAACAUGCCCAAAAUAAUAAUAAAUCCGGUAGGACUACAAAACCCCCAAAAUCAAAUCAGAAAUACACAGCUCAAUUGAAAAAACACAAUUCUCAA
rnacentral:lncRNA from 1 species